rnacentral:rRNA from 1 species
CGAAGGGGGCUAGCGUUGUUCGGAAUUACUGGGCGUAAAGCGCGCGCAGGCGGUCUUCCAAGUCAGUGGUGAAAGCCCGGAGCUCAACUCCGGAACUGCCAUUGAAACUGUGAGACUUGAGUAUGAGAGAGGUGAGUGGAAUUCCCAGUGUAGAGGUGAAAUUCGUAGAUAUUGGGAAGAACACCGGUGGCGAAGGCGGCUCACUGGCUCAUUACUGACGCUCAGGCGCGACAGCGUGGGGAUCAAACAGGAUUAGAUACCCUGGUAGUCCACGCCGUAAACGAUGAAUGCUAGCCGUUGGAUAGCUUGCUAUUCAGUGGCGCAGCUAACGCAUUAAGCAUUCCGCCUGGGGAGUACGGCCGCAAGGUUG